UGCGUAGGCGGGUCUUUAAGUCAGGGGUGAGAUCCUGGAGCUCAACUCCAGAACUGCCUUUGAUACUGAAGAUCUUGAGUUCGGGAGAGGUGAGUGGAACUGCGAGUGUAGAGGUGAAAUUCGUAGAUAUUCGCAAGAACACCAGUGGCGAAGGCGGCUCACUGGCCCGAUACUGACGCUGAGGCACGAAAGCGUGGGGAGCAAACA
rnacentral:rRNA from 1 species